CAGCAUCGGCUAACUCCGUGCCAGCAGCCGCGGUAAUACGGAGGAUGCAAGCGUUAUCCGGAAUUAUUGGGCGUAAAGCGUCCGCAGGCGGCUAGAUAAGUCUGCUUUCAAAGAGUGGGGCUCAACCCCAUAAAGGGAGUGGAAACUGUUUAGCUAGAGUAUGGUAGGGGCAGAGGGAAUUCCCAGUGUAGCGGUGAAAUGCGUAGAUAUUGGGAAGAACACCAGUGGCGAAGGCGCUCUGCUGGACCGAGACUGACGCUGAGGGACGAAAGCUAGGGGAGCGAAUGGGAUUAGAU
rnacentral:rRNA from 1 species